UACGUAGGGGGCAAGCGUUGUCCGGAAUCAUUGGGCGUAAAGCGCGCGUGGGCGGCCAGAUAAGUCCGGUGUGAAAGUCACAGGCUCAACCUGUGAAUGCCGCUGGAAACUGUCUGGCUUGAGUCCGGAAGGGGCGAGUGGAAUUCCUGGUGUAGCGGUGAAAUGCGCAGAUAUCAGGAGGAACACCAGUGGCGAAGGCGACUUUCUGGUCUGUAACUGACACUGAGGCGCGAAAGCGUGGGGAGCAAACAGG
rnacentral:rRNA from 1 species